CCUACGGGAGGCAGCAGUGGGGAAUAUUGGACAAUGGGCGCAAGCCUGAUCCAGCCAUACCGCGUGGGUGAAGAAGGCCUUCGGGUUGUAAAGCCCUUUUGUUGGGAAGAAAAGCAGUCGAUUAAUACUCGGUUGUUCUGACGGUACCCAAGAAUAAGCACCGGCUAACUUCGUGCCAGCAGCCGCGGUAAUACGAAGGGUGCAAGCGUUACUCGGAAUUACUGGGCGUAAAGCGUGCGUAGGUGGUUGUUUAAGUCUGUUGUGAAAGCCCUGGGCUCAACCUGGGAAUUGCAGUGGAUACUGGGCGACUAGAGUGUGGUAGAGGGUAGUGGAAUUCCCGGUGUAGCAGUGAAAUGCGUAGAGAUCGGGAGGAACAUCCAUGGCGAAGGCAGCUACCUGGACCAACACUGACACUGAGGCACGAAAGCGUGGGGAGCAAACAGGAUUAGAUACCCUGGUAGUCCACGCCCUAAACCGAUGCGAACUGGAUGUGGGUGCAAUUUGGCACGCAGUAUCGAAGCUAACGCGUUAAGUUCGCGCCUGGGGAGUACGGUCGCAAGACUUGAAACUCAAAGGAAUUGACGGCUUGAGACGNGCGACGGACGACGACGAGGGAGGAGG
rnacentral:rRNA from 1 species